rnacentral:tRNA from 1 species
CCACCCGUAGCCCGGAAGCACGGCCCCUUCGGUGGACCGCAGUUCCAGGUCCGAGGAGAUCCACGGUUCGUCGGCGCGCGGGGAGGCCA